rnacentral:tRNA from 1 species
GCGCCACUAGCUCAGUUGGAUAGAGCGUCGGUCUCCGGAACCGAAGGUCGCGCGUUCGAAUCGCGCGUGGCGCGC